AGUGAACGCUGGCGGUAGGCCUAACACAUGCAAGUCAAACGGCAGCACAGGAGAGCUUGCUCUCUGGGUGGCGAGUGGCGGACGGGUGAGGAAUACAUCGGAAUCUACUCUGUCGUGGGGGAUAACGUAGGGAAACUUACGCUAAUACCGCAUACGACCUACGGGUGAAAGCAGGGGACCUUCGGGCCUUGCGCGAUGGAAUGAGCCGAUGUCGGAUUAGCGAGUUGGCGGGGUAAAGGCCCACCAAGGCGACGAUCCGUAGCUGGUCUGAGAGGAUGAUCAGCCACACUGGAACUGAGACACGGUCCAGACUCCUACGGGAGGCAGCAGUGGGGAAUAUUGGACAAUGGGCGCAAGCCUGAUCCAGCCAUACCGCGUGGGUGAAGAAGGCCUUCGGGUUGUAAAGCCCUUUUGUUGGGAAAGAAAUCCAGCUGGCUAAUACCCGGUUGGGAUGACGGUACCCAAAGAAUAAGCACCGGCUAACUUCGUGCCAGCAGCCGCCGUAA
rnacentral:rRNA from 1 species